GGAGAGGUACCGAAGUGGUCGUAACGGGGCCGACUCGAAAUCGGCUGUGCCGCUAAAGGCGGCACCGUGGGUUCGAAUCCCACCCUCUCCGCCA
rnacentral:tRNA from 1 species